rnacentral:rRNA from 1 species
CUCAGUAACACGUGGAUAAUCUGCCCCUUAGGUGGAGGAUAAUCUCGGGAAACUGAGGAUAAUACUCCAUAGAUCUAGGAUGCUGGAAUGCAUCUAGAUUGAAAGCUCCGGCGCCUAAGGAUGAGUCUGCGGACUAUCAGGUUGUAGUCAGGGUAAAGACCUGACUAGCCUACGACGGAUACGGGUUGUGAGAGCAAUAACCCGGAGACGAUAUCUGAGACACGAUAUCGGGCCCUACGGGGCGCAGCAGGCGCGAAAACUUCACACUGUGCGAAAGCGCGAUGAGGGAAUCCCAAGUGUUUGCUCGUAAGAGUAAACUGUUUCUUUGUUUAAAACGCAGAGAGAGUAAGGGCUGGGUAAGACGGGUGCCAGCCGCCGCGGUAAUACCUGCAGCUCAAGUGGUGAUCAUUAUUAUUGGGCCUAAAACGUCCGUAGCCGGUUUAGUAAAUGCCUGGGUAAAUCGUGUAGCUUAACUAUACGACUUCCGGGUAGACUACUAAACUUGAGACCGGGAGAGGCUAGAGGUACUCCUGGGGUAGAGGUGAAAUUCUGUAAUCCUAGGGGGACCACCAGUGGCGAAGGCGUCUAGCUAGAACGGGUCUGACGGUGAGGGACGAAGCCCUGGGGCACAAACCGGAUUAGAUACCCGGGUAGUCCAGGGUGUAAACGCUGCUUGCUUGAUGUUAGUUGGGCUCCGAGCCCAACUAGUGUCGGAGAGAAGUUGUUAAGCAAGCUGCCUGGGAAGUACGGUCGCAAGGCUGAAACUUAAA